rnacentral:rRNA from 1 species
AGCCGGGGCUUCUUCUCCGGCUACCGUCAUUAUCUUCACCGGUGAAAGAGUUUUACAACCCUAAGGCCUUCUUCACUCACGCGCAUGGCUGCAUCAGGCUUUCGCCCAUUGUGCAAUAUUCCCC